CGCCUGUGAAUUGAAUCUUGUCUUGGACUCUUGUCGGCGUUUGAUUUAAAAAUUUACAUUACAUUUACAAUUACACUUGGUCCUUCCGAAUGUUGAACGAUUUAGUAAAAAAAGAUCGGUUCACGCGAUCGUUUAAUUGGUAAACGCUAUCAUGAUAUGCAAGUUGUGAUCAUCUAUUUUAGGUAUCUCUGAACAAAAACUCGAAUAUACGUGUAUGUAUAUUCUUGAUGUCCAGAAAAGCAAUAUCAUCGCUAGAGGCAUAUGUGGCACACGUGAUCUCAGAAAACACCUGUGCACGUGUGACUUUUGUACACUACGAAAAGCUGUACGUUCCAAUGGCACGCUCAUUCCAACUGAAACCGUUGCCGCACAGAUAUUGACGAUCCUCGAAAUAAAUCGUACGGGCUCCGUACCAAAGAUAUUUCUUCGAAAAACGAUCUACAAGGAAAUAUCAUCGAGAAACGGUCGGGUGUUCUCCGAGAGUAUCGAAACAUUUUCGAACGACGAGUAUCGAAGACGUGUUCCGUUCAACAUAUGCGAAGGUUCGAAAUUGAAGAAAAUCAACCCGUUCGUCUCAACAACAAUCAAGUAACAAAGUAUGUUUGUUUGCGUCUUUCUAACCGUGAAUUUAACAAAGACCCAAGAAGAAAGUGUUACCAAAUCGAUUCACGUUUCUUUUACUUGCAUAGACCUCACGGAAACGGAGGGUAUCCUAAUAUAAUAGAUGCCUAAAUUGACGACGACGCGCCAUCGCGACGAAAGAAAAGAUCACGGAACAGAACAGAGAGAAUACAUCGAAAGAUAAAGAUGCCAGUACACUGGCCUACUACCUACAGCCCUUUGGCGUAGAUUGCGUUAAAUCGAUCAAAUGGACCCGCAUGAGAAAAUGGACCAUGGACGUAUUCACGAGACAACGAUGGCAACGUUUAUCACGAAAUGACCAAACUAUUUCGAUGCGCAGGCUACUCUAACGGUCGUGUAUCGUGUAUCGUGAAUCGGUGGAUCGGUGGAUCGGUGAAUCGGUGGAUCGGUGGAUCGUGGAUCGUGGAUCGUGGGCUGUACUGUGAAGCGCAUUCGGUGGCAUAGGGGAGCGCUGCGCUGCAUGCACGCAUUAAUCAACGAGCUGUCCUUUUCCUCCAUUAAACUCUGUAGCUGUACGACCAGCGUCAUUCUUUGUCAAUUUGCACGGCGGACCUCCUCGCGGGUCCUUCGACCAAUUAUUUCUUUGACGAACGACAAUGUUUCCAUCCUCGUUGUUUGGUAAUCGUUGCCGCUGGUACAUAGAUAUGUCAGUCCCUGACCAUAAAAAAACGACCGAAAAUGUUGAACGUCGGCGUCGGUGAUUCACGCGACGACCAACCCACUACUUACAAUUACUUUUCACUGAUAAAUCUAUUUUAGAUACUU